GAUAUGGGGGCGUGUUGCAAACGGAAAAGAAGCAAUGGGUGUUAUUUUUGGUUCUCAAGCAACCAUUACAUUUUUUUUGAAAGUGAACAAGACUUCAUAUCAAUCUGGAUCAUUCUUCACUCCCUGAAAUCACUGGAACUCCCAUAUUAGGUAAAACAUUAAGACCCAUUAUACACUGUUUUGUUCCUGGGAUGUCAAGAGGAUGGCCACAGGCCCCCAGAGAAUACCACCUGUGUCAGGUUCCAAGGUUGUGGGGGGGCAAGUCGAUAUUACAAUCAUGAAAUCAAUGGAAAUAAACAGCAAGCGACUUUGUGCUGGAAGAGCUUGCUGUCUGUCUGAAGAGCAGGACAGUGAGACGAGAUGACAGACGUGGGGGGUGGGGUCUAUUCACCACUGGACGUGGGAGCAGCAGGGGCCUGUGGUGACCCCUCAAGUCUCACAUAUCCUGAACAGUCCCAAUGGAAGAUUUCAUAACAAUCCACCAUGAGGGACACUUUGUAUGCUGCAGUCUAUUUACAUGAGCAUUUACAUAGCACAGUGUUCCACUAAGGGGACCAAACUAUCUUAACUGUCAGGUAACAUGAUUAAGAUGUGUGAACAGUAAGUUAACAUCAUGUAAUGGUCUUCCUAUUGACAUUAGAUGACUAGCAGUAAUUCUCAUAAAAAUUGUCAAAAUAAAAAAUAUAUAAUUAUUAAAAUUUUAAUAUAAAAUUUAAAAUAAAAUUCUGAAAAGAAUUAUCGAAAUUAUCUUUGAUUCUUACUUCUUUCAUUGCAUGUAGUGUGUAGGCAGAUAUCUUUGGCCCUAAAAUCUGCUAAUAAUAAUAAGUUCUUAAAACAUUAAAUUCUGCAUAACCUCAUAUUUUUACAUAAUGCAAUAUUAUUAUUGUUAUUAUUAGUCGUAGUCGUUGU